UGGGGAAUCUUCCGCAAUGGACGAAAGUCUGACGGAGCAACGCCGCGUGAGUGAAGACGGCCUUCGGGUUGUAAAGCUCUGUGAUUCGGGACGAAAGGCCAUAUGUGAAUAAUAUAUGGAAAUGACGGUACCGAAAAAGCAAGCCACGGCUAACUACGUGCCAGCAGCCGCGGUAAUACGUAGGUGGCAAGCGUUGUCCGGAAUUAUUGGGCGUAAAGCGCUCGCAGGCGGUCACUUAAGUCCAUCUUAGAAGUGCGGGGCUUAACCCCGUGAUGGGAUGGAAACUGGGAGACUGGAGUAUCGGAGAGGAAAGUGGAAUUCCUAGUGUAGCGGUGAAAUGCGUAGAUAUUAGGAAGAACACCGGUGGCGAAGGCGACUUUCUGGACGAAAACUGACGCUGAGGCGCGAAAGCGUGGGGAGCAAACAGG
rnacentral:rRNA from 1 species